rnacentral:lncRNA from 1 species
CGCCUGUAGGUGAGUCUCUGUGAACCAGUUACUUUCCACUCUGUGGGGCUUCCCACCUGGGAGGGAUGGGGUUGCUUAUAUCACGUAAUCGCCCCUCCUACCUCUUGAUGUGGCCUCCUCUUUGUCUUCUGGAGUAGGGUAUCUUUUUGAAGGUUUCCGGUCCAUUUGGGUGAAGAGUGCUCAGCCUUUAGUUGUGACUUUUGUUGUUUUUAGGAGAGAAGUUGAGCUCCAGUCCUCCUGUUCUGCCCUCUUAAUCCCAUCUCUCCUGUCAACUUUUUCUAAUCAUCUUCUAAUUACACCAGUGAUUCUCCACAGGGGCCCAUUGUGUCUCUCGGGGGAACUUGACACUGUCUGGAGACCACUUGGCUUGCUGCUGAGGUCUGAAGGAGCCCAAACAGACGGAGACAGUUGGCCGGACUGGCAAGGAGUGCUGCUGUGGGUGGCGCCCAGGGGUGUCGCUACAUCCUGCUGUGUCCAGGACAGCCCCACAACGAGGAAUUGUCAGCCCCAAAGGUCAGUCGUGCUGAGAUGGAGGAACCCCGCCCCAAAGGCUUACCCCCAUGGACAAGCAUCACAGCAAAUCUGGGAAGCUCCUUAGACAUGUAGACUCCUGGGCCCCACCCCAGACCAUGUACAUCAGACUCUGCGUUUGAGCAGCGCCCCCCAGAGGAGUUCUGUGUUCGUUUGAGACCCAGACUGCACAGUGAGGUAGCC